GUGCUCACUUCAGCAGCACAUCUACUAAAACUGGAAUGAUACAGAGAUUAGCAUGACCACUGUGCAAGGAUGACAAGCAAAUUUGUGAAGCGGUCCAUAUUUGG